rnacentral:lncRNA from 1 species
AGGCCGAAGAGCAGGAAGGCUUGCUGCCCGGGUGUCGGGCCACUGCAGAGUCGGCCGGGGUCACACUGCGGAGGAUGCAGCUGGGAGACGGCAGCAGUGAGCAUGAUGAUGAGCAGUCCCUACACGCAGCGAACAGGUAAAAUCAACUAAUUACGAGGCAGUAGAACAUAUUAUCAUCAGUAAAAUUUAAGAUGAUGUGCUAUUUAUCGAUAAACAAUACUUAAAAAAAUUAAAAAUAGUCAUAUAGAUUAAUUAAGGAUGGUAAACUAAGUUAACACUAUACUUAAUUAUCUCUUAAAAGAAAGAAGAAAAAAAACUAUAAUAAACAUUUAAUACACAAACAGUAGUAAUAUUAUUGAUCAAGACAAGUCGACCAUAAUAUGUAUUUUGGUGGAUAAGAUCCAAAUAAAAGAUCUUGUCCCCUUUACUGUGUGAGAGGUGUGGAGCGAGCAGAAAGGUUGGGGGGAUGGACAAAUGAUAAGCAAAGCUGACCUCCUCGAUGUCACUCGUACAUCUAAUGGCGGAAUUGUUGCCACUGGACAAUAAUGUUGUAAUGAGACAUACAAGAUAAUGGUGGUGUGGGGUUGCACUCUCUUUACCUAUAAAUUUCCUGCAAGAUUGCUUUCCAAUAAUGCUUCAGAUAAUAGGGGUCGCCCACACCCAUUCAAGUUUGUUAGUGCCCUCAUAUGGUGGGUGGUCUUGUGGGCAUUCAUUCGAUAAGACUAUGACAGUCAACUACGGGCACAUUCGUCUUUGGAUUGGAUUCAUCUACCCCAACCUCUUCUAUCCUUAUCCGAAGCGUAUUUAGAAAGAAGAAACCGUGUCAGCUUUAAGCUUCGUUACUGCCAAUCUUCUGAGUUGGAAGCAGCAUCCUAUAGCACACUAGCUUGCGCUAGAAUCUGUUCCUCCUCACAUCUGCUGCAUGUGUUCGAGAUAGAUAGAUUGAACUCGAGAAUUGCUCGAAGACAAUAAAUAGCCUAUAGUUUAGCUCUGUGCAAGUGUUCUUCUUCUUCCCUAACAUGCUGGAAUGGUAAGACUGUGUACCGAAACAGGAGGGGAGUUUGGAGUGCAGUACCAGUUGGGAAGCAACGGAGGCAAGCCCCAGCGUCGCGUACCGGCCCAAGUAGGUGUCGGCGAGGAAGGCGCCGAGGACGGGGGCGAGGUUGGUGGUGCCGUUGAACACGUUGACGAUGGUGGC